GCCUUCGUGGUGUAGUGGUCAGCACGUUCGGCACGUACCCGAGAGGUCAGUGGUUUGAUUCCUGGCGAAGGCA
rnacentral:tRNA from 1 species